CUCGUCUGUUGACUGACGAGCAGAUAAAAGAGGAAGAAGAAAGACUUGGUGAGCAGACGGACGUGGACCUGGACAUGGAUCUCCUGCUGCUGCUGCUGUGGAGUUCAGGCCUCGGAGGUGGAGGACGCCUCGCCUCAGCAGCUGCUCAGUGUGAAGCAGCCAAUGCUGACAUCGUGAUGUUGGUGGAUGAAUCUGGGAGUAUCUCACCACCAGACUUCUGGAAGAUGCUACAGUUUGUUGACGAUAUAAUCAAAAUCUUCAACAUUGGCCCUGACGCAGUGCAGAUUGGUCUGACUUUAUUCACUGACACUCCGAGGACCAUGUGGCAGCUGAACACCUACCAGACCAAACAGUCGCUG
ensembl:lncRNA